GGAAAAAAGAAUGGAAAGUUGCUGGUCUUCGAAAGGGGCGGACUUCGUCGCCCCUUUCAGCGGCUCGUCGCCUGCUGAAUCCACAGCAGGGGAUUCAACUCAAUACGUAUUUAUCGAGAAUCUACUAUGUAAAAUGCAAUGUUCACAGCAUCUUCACCAGGAGAAGAUUCUAUCUUAAGGAAACUCUUUUCUCAUGCAUAAGAAGCACCUCCUUACCUGUUAAAAGUUUAAUCAUGAGAUUGCAGGAAUUCAGUCACAUCUUCAGGCUCCACUUCUAAUUCUAGUUCUCUUGGUAUUCCACCACACCUGCAGUGACUUCCUCCACCGAAGUCUUGAACCUCUCAAAGUCAUCCAUGAGGGUUGGAAUCAACUUCUUCCAAAGUCCUGUUAAUGUUUGUAGUGUUAUGAAAUAUAUAUACAUAUAGGUUUUCAUACACAGGAAACAGAAUCUCUUUGACCUUCUCUUGCCUUCCUUUUACUUGCCUUCCUUUCACCUACCCCAAAGCAGGACUCUAAUCUUCUGCUUUUAUAAUUGUGGAUCAUAAGACUCAUUUCAGAGAGGGUCCCAACCCAUGGCCUGGGGGAAGGAAUGCUGAUGUAAUGAAGCUUCCAUAAAAAUCCAAGAGGACAGCUUCCUGAUAGCUGAACAAGUGGAGGUUUCUGGGGAAUGGCUACCCGGGGAGGGCAUGGGAGCUCUGUGUCCCUUCCUCCAUACCUCUCCCUAUGCAUCUCUUCAUCUGGAUCCUUCGUGAUAUCCUUUAUAACAAACUGGUAAAUGUAAGUGUUUCCUUAGUUCUGUGAGCCACUCCAGCAAAUUAUUGAACCCAAAGAGGGGGUCAUGGGAACCUCAACUUGAAGCUGAUUGGUCAGAAGUUCCAGAGACCUGGACUUGCAACUGGUGUCUGAGGGGAGGAGGGAGUAAUCUUGGGGACUGAGCCCUUUACCUGUGGGAACUGACAUAUCUCCAGGUAGUGUCAGAAUCGAAUUGGAGGAUACCCAGCUGGUCUCCACUGCUUGUUGGUGGGGAAAAUCCCCCAUAUAUUUGGUCACAGAAGUCUUCUGUGUUGAUUGUUGUGGUGUGAGAGCAGAGGACAAAUGCAGUUUAAGUUUUUCCAUGACAAUGUUGAUACUUUGACCCCUUCCUAUGACUCACAAAUGUUCUUUUUGCGGGCAGGGGGCAAACAAGUGCAGUGGCACGAUCUCGACUCACUGCAACCUCCACCUCCUGGGCUCAAGCCAUUCUCCCAUCUCAGCCUCCCAAGUAGCUGGGGCUAUAGGCGGGCACCAUCAUGCCCGGCUAAUUUUUGUAUUUUUUGUAGGGACAGGGCUUUGCCACGCUGCCUGUACCUGGCUUCACAAAUGUUCUUAAUGGCAUUUAGGAUGGUAAAUCCUUUCCAGGUUUUUUUGUUUUGUUUUGUUUUCCUUUAUCUAGUCAUCCAGAAGUAUCCAGAAGGUUUUCAAUUUCUUUUGCCCAGAUCCAUCAAAGGAAUCAUUAUCUAUGACAGCUAUAGCCUUACAAAAUGUACUUCUGAAAUAAUAAGACUUGAAAGUUGAAAUUGCUGUGUGGGCUGCAGAAUGGAUGUUGUGUUAGCAGGCCUGAAAACUAUUAAUCUUGUACAUCUCCAUCAGAGUUCUUGGGUGACCAGCUGCAUUGUCAAUGAGCAGUAGUAUUUUAAAAUAAACCAGUUUUUUUCUUUUUUUGAGUAGUAGGUUUCAGCAGUGGGCUUUAAAUAUUCAGUAAAUCACGCUGUAAAUGGAUGUGCUGUUGCUAUCCAGGCUCUAUUGUUUCAUUUACAGAGCAGAGGCCGGGUAGAUUUAGCAUAAUUCUUAAGGGCCCUAAGAUUUUUUAGAAGGACAAAUAAGCAUUGACUUCAACUUAAAGUCACCAGCUGCACUAGCCCCUGACAAGGGAGUCAGCCUGCCCUUUGAAGCUUUGAACCUAGGCAUUGAAAGUCCUAGAUGGUAUCUUCUUCCAAUAAUAUAAGGCCAUUUUGUCUGCAUUGAAAAUCUGUUGAUGUAGCCACCUUCAUCAAUGAUGAAGCUAGAUCUUCUGGAUGACUUGCUGGAGCUUCUACAUCAAGCACUUGCUGCUUUACUGUGUACUUUUAUGUUAUGGAGAUGGCUUCUUUCCUUAAACCUCAUGAACCAAGCUCUGCUAGCUCCAAACUUUUCUUCUGCAGCUUCCUCACCUCUCUCCACCUUCAUAGAAUUGAGAGAGUUAGGGUGUCUGGAUUAGGAUCUGGCUUAAGGGAAUGUUGUGGCUAGUUUGAUCUUUUAUCCAGACCACUAAAACUUUCUCCAUAACAGCAAUAAUGCUGUUUUACUUUCCUACCAUUUGUAUGUUCACUGGAGUAGCAUUUUUAAAUCCUUUCAAGAGCUUUUCCUUUGCAUUCACAACUUGGCUAGCUUCUUGGCCCAAAGGCCUAGUUUUUGGCCCAUCUUGCUUUUGACAUGCCUUCCUCACUAAGCUUAAUCAUUUCUAGCUUUUGAUUUAAAGUGAGAGAUGUGUGACUUUCUUUCACUUGAACACUUAAAGGUGAUUGUGAGGUUAUUAAUUGGCCUAAUUUCAAUAUAGUUGUGUCGCAGGGAAUAGGGAGGCCCAAAGAGAGGGAGAAAGAUGAGGGAACAGCUAGUCAGUGGAACACACACAACACUUAGUAAGUUCACCGUCUUAUAAGGGUGCAGUUCCUGGUGCCCCAAAACAAUUAAAAUAGUAACAUUAAAGAUGACUGAUCACAUAUCACUAUAAUAGAUAUAAUAAAAAGUUUGAAAUAUUGUGAGAAUUACCAAAAUGUGAGACAGAGACAUGAAGUGAACACAUGCUGUUGGGAAAAUGGUGCUGAUAGACCUGCUCAAUGUAGGGUUGCCAAAAUUUUUCGAUUUGUAAAAAACACAAUUAUCUGUGAAGUAUAAUAAAAUGAGGUGUUAGGUUGUUAUUGUUUCUGUAACAAAAUUAUAUUUCUAUAGGUCGGAAUUUUAAAAUGGGUUACAGAACUACAUUUCUUCCUUGAGGCCACUAGGGGAGAAUUUGUUUUUUGUUGUUUGUUUUUAGCUUCCAGAGGCUACUUGCAUUUCUUGGCUUGUAGCCCUAUCCUCCAUUUUCAAAGUCAGCAGCAUAAAUCUUCCAAACUCUUUCUCUCUCUGCUUUUGUUGUCAUACUUUUCUCUUCAAUUCUCCUGCUCCUUUGUUAUAAAGAUCCUGUGAUAACAUUGUGUGCACCCGGAUAAUACAGGAUAAUCUCCCCAUCUCAGGAUUCUUAAUUUAAUCAUAUCUACCAAAUCCCUUUUACCAUGUAAAAUAAUAUAUUCACAGGUUCUUGGAAUUAGGACAUGGAAAUAUUUGGGGAGCCAUUUUUUAGCCUAUGGUAUGUAUGUGGUAUGUAUGAGUCAUUGGGAUAUAAAAAAUGAUUUCUGGUAGUAUAAUGAGAAAAAAUUUUAAGGUUUAAGUUUGUGUUUUAUGUGCUGCUUAGAGAUGAAUAAUGAAGAUGUCACUAGGUGAACUAU